rnacentral:rRNA from 1 species
GACGAACCGUCCGAACGUUAUUCGGAAUCACUGGGCUUAAAGGGUGCGUAGGCGGCGCGGAAAGUUGGGUGUGAAAUCCCUCGGCUCAACCGAGGAACUGCGCCCAAAACUACCGUGCUCGAGGGAGAUAGAGGUGAGCGGAACUUAGGGUGGAGCGGUGAAAUGCGUUGAUAUCCUAAGGAACACCGGUGGCGAAAGCGGCUCACUGGAUCUCUUCUGACGCUGAGGCACGAAAGCGUGGGUAGCAAACACG